rnacentral:lncRNA from 1 species
UCUAGUUGAUUCCGAUCAUUUGAAUAUGAUCAUUUGUAAUAUUUUGAACUAAAUGUUAUGCCUCUAUAUUAUUUUUCAGCUCAUUAAAUCCUCCAAUGGGUUCUAACUCUUCCAUGUAUUCAAUGGUUGGUCCCAUGGAUGUCUGUCACAUUGGCAACAAUGAUGAUAUGUGCUCGGUGUCCCAUGCAGCAGAAAACCUGGCUGUGGUCCUGAGAUGUGUGCCCCAUUCUAACUUGAGCCUCACUGGAGAAAAUCUGAAACUAUUGGUCACAGAGCUAUCCAAGAUACUGACAGGACCACACACAAUGAUGAAUGACAGUUCGGGUUGGCCCAACCUCACAGACUUGUUUGGCCAGCUUCCGACAGAUGGCUUCAGUGCUGAGAACCUUGGUGAUGAGAACUUCAUCACCUUCUGGUUCCUGAUCAGACUGCGGCCCCUCCUACCUUCAGUGUCAGAGGAGUACCUAUCCUGCCUCAGCACUAGAGACUUCAGCUGUCAAGCCUACCAAGCACUUGUCAUGGGGCUGAGUGAUCACAUCUCAUCGAUGGAUGAGAUGAGACAGAAACUGGUCUACACACGCUUCAUUCACCCAUUCCUCACACAACACCGAUAUUCAGGUAUUUAUUUUGAUUUGGCGAUUUGUUUAACUUAG